rnacentral:rRNA from 1 species
GAUGAACGCUGGCGGCGUGCCUAAUACAUGCAAGUCGAGCGAACAGACGAGGAGCUUGCUCCUCUGACGUUAGCGGCGGACGGGUGAGUAACACGUGGAUAACCUACCUAUAAGGCUGGGAUAACUUCGGGAAACCGGAGCUAAUACCGGAUAAUAUAUUGAACCGCAUGGUUCAAUAGUGAAAGACGGUUUUGCUGUCACUUAUAGAUGGAUCCGCGCCGCAUUAGCUAGUUGGUAAGGUAACGGCUUACCAAGGCGACGAUGCGUAGCCGACCUGAGAGGGUGAUCGGCCACACUGGAACUGAGACACGGUCCAGACUCCUACGGGAGGCAGCAGUAGGGUAUAUUGCGCAAUGGGCGAAAGCCUGACGGAGCAACGCCGCGUGAGUGAUGAAGGUCUUCGGAUCGUAAAACUCUGUUAUUAGGGAAGAACAACUGUGUAAGUAACUAUGCACGUCUUGACGGUACCUAAUCAGAAAGCCACGGCUAACUACGUG